rnacentral:rRNA from 1 species
GGGUUGUGAGGUUAAGCGACUAAGCGUACACGGUGGAUGCCCUGGCAGUCAGAGGCGAUGAAGGACGUGCUAAUCUGCGAUAAGCGUCGGUAAGGUGAUAUGAACCGUUAUAACCGGCGAUUUCCGAAUGGGGAAACCCAGUGUGAUUCGUCACACUAUCAUUAACUGAAUCCAUAGGUUAAUGAGGCGAACCGGGGGAACUGAAACAUCUAAGUACCCCGAGGAAAAGAAAUCAACCGAGAUUCCCCCAGUAGCGGCGAGCGAACGGGGAGCAGCCCAGAGCCUGAAUCAGUGUGUGUGUUAGUGGAAGCGUCUGGAAAGGCGCGCGAUACAGGGUGACAGCCCCGUACACAAAAAUGCACAUGCUGUGAGCUCGAUGAGUAGGGCGGGACACGUGGUAUCCUGUCUGAAUAUGGGGGGACCAUCCUCCAAGGCUAAAUACUCCUGACUGACCGAUAGUGAACCAGUACCGUGAGGGAAAGGCGAAAAGAACCCCGGCGAGGGGAGUGAAAAAGAACCUGAAACCGUGUACGUACAAGCAGUGGGAGCACAGAGCAAUCUGUGUGACUGCGUACCUUUUGUAUAAUGGGUCAGCGACUUAUAUUCUGUAGCAAGGUUAACCGAAUAGGGGAGCCGAAGGGAAACCGAGUCUUAACUGGGCGUUAAGUUGCAGGGUAUAGACCCGAAACCCGGUGAUCUAGCCAUGGGCAGGUUGAAGGUUGGGUAACACUAACUGGAGGACCGAACCGACUAAUGUUGAAAAAUUAGCGGAUGACUUGUGGCUGGGGGUGAAAGGCCAAUCAAACCGGGAGAUAGCUGGUUCUCCCCGAAAGCUAUUUAGGUAGCGCCUCGUGAAUUCAUCUCCGGGGGUAGAGCACUGUUUCGGCAAGGGGGUCAUCCCGACUUACCAACCCGAUGCAAACUGCGAAUACCGGAGAAUGUUAUCACGGGAGACACACGGCGGGUGCUAACGUCCGUCGUGAAGAGGGAAACAACCCAGACCGCCAGCUAAGGUCCCAAAGUCAUGGUUAAGUGGGAAACGAUGUGGGAAGGCCCAGACAGCCAGGAUGUUGGCUUAGAAGCAGCCAUCAUUUAAAGAAAGCGUAAUAGCUCACUGGUCGAGUCGGCCUGCGCGGAAGAUGUAACGGGGCUAAACUAUGCACCGAAGCUGCGGCAGCGACGCUUAUGCGUUGUUGGGUAGGGGAGCGUUCUGUAAGCCUGCGAAGGUGUGCUGUGAGGCAUGCUGGAGGUAUCAGAAGUGCGAAUGCUGACAUAAGUAACGAUAAAGCGGGUGAAAAGCCCGCUCGCCGGAAGACCAAGGGUUCCUGUCCAACGUUAAUCGGGGCAGGGUGAGUCGACCCCUAAGGCGAGGCCGAAAGGCGUAGUCGAUGGGAAACAGGUUAAUAUUCCUGUACUUGGUGUUACUGCGAAGGGGGGACGGAGAAGGCUAUGUUGGCCGGGCGACGGUUGUCCCGGUUUAAGCGUGUAGGCUGGUUUUCCAGGCAAAUCCGGAAAAUCAAGGCUGAGGCGUGAUGACGAGGCACUACGGUGCUGAAGCAACAAAUGCCCUGCUUCCAGGAAAAGCCUCUAAGCAUCAGGUAACAUCAAAUCGUACCCCAAACCGACACAGGUGGUCAGGUAGAGAAUACCAAGGCGCUUGAGAGAACUCGGGUGAAGGAACUAGGCAAAAUGGUGCCGUAACUUCGGGAGAAGGCACGCUGAUAUGUAGGUGAAGUCCCUCGCGGAUGGAGCUGAAAUCAGUCGAAGAUACCAGCUGGCUGCAACUGUUUAUUAAAAACACAGCACUGUGCAAACACGAAAGUGGACGUAUACGGUGUGACGCCUGCCCGGUGCCGGAAGGUUAAUUGAUGGGGUUAGCGCAAGCGAAGCUCUUGAUCGAAGCCCCGGUAAACGGCGGCCGUAACUAUAACGGUCCUAAGGUAGCGAAAUUCCUUGUCGGGUAAGUUCCGACCUGCACGAAUGGCGUAAUGAUGGCCAGGCUGUCUCCACCCGAGACUCAGUGAAAUUGAACUCGCUGUGAAGAUGCAGUGUACCCGCGGCAAGACGGAAAGACCCCGUGAACCUUUACUAUAGCUUGACACUGAACAUUGAGCCUUGAUGUGUAGGAUAGGUGGGAGGCUUUGAAGUGUGGACGCCAGUCUGCAUGGAGCCGACCUUGAAAUACCACCCUUUAAUGUUUGAUGUUCUAACGUGGACCCGUAAUCCGGGUUGCGGACAGUGUCUGGUGGGUAGUUUGACUGGGGCGGUCUCCUCCUAAAGAGUAACGGAGGAGCACGAAGGUUGGCUAAUCCUGGUCGGACAUCAGGAGGUUAGUGCAAUGGCAUAAGCCAGCUUGACUGCGAGCGUGACGGCGCGAGCAGGUGCGAAAGCAGGUCAUAGUGAUCCGGUGGUUCUGAAUGGAAGGGCCAUCGCUCAACGGAUAAAAGGUACUCCGGGGAUAACAGGCUGAUACCGCCCAAGAGUUCAUAUCGACGGCGGUGUUUGGCACCUCGAUGUCGGCUCAUCACAUCCUGGGGCUGAAGUAGGUCCCAAGGGUAUGGCUGUUCGCCAUUUAAAGUGGUACGCGAGCUGGGUUUAGAACGUCGUGAGACAGUUCGGUCCCUAUCUGCCGUGGGCGCUGGAGAACUGAGGGGGGCUGCUCCUAGUACGAGAGGACCGGAGUGGACGCAUCACUGGUGUUCGGGUUGUCAUGCCAAUGGCACUGCCCGGUAGCUAAAUGCGGAAGAGAUAAGUGCUGAAAGCAUCUAAGCACGAAACUUGCCCCGAGAUGAGUUCUCCCUGACUCCUUGAGAGUCCUGAAGGAACGUUGAAGACGACGACGUUGAUAGGCCGGGUGUGUAAGCGCAGCGAUGCGUUGAGCUAACCGGUACUAAUGAACCGUGAGGCUUAACCUUACAACGCCGAAG